UUUAAUAUGGCAGAUUUAGUGCAUUGGAUUUAAAUCCCAAAAAAAAAGAACUUACCUUUUAUUAAAA
rnacentral:tRNA from 1 species